UGGGGGAUAUUGCACAAUGGGCGAAAGCCUGAUGCAGCGACGCCGCGUGGGGGAUGAAGGCCUUCGGGUUGUAAACUUCUUUUGCUCUGAACAAGGCGCACCAUGGGGUGUGUUGAGUGUAGGGGUUGAUUAGCGCCGGCUAACUACGUGCCAGCAGCCGCGGUAAUACGUAGGGCGCGAGCGUUGUCCGGAAUGCUUGGGCGUAAAGGGCUUGUAGGUGGCUGGUUGCGUCUGUCGUGAAAGCUCAUGGCUUAACUGUGGGUUUGCGGUGGGUACGGGCUGGCUUGAGUGCAGUAGGGGAGGCUGGAAUUCCUGGUGUAGCGGUGGAAUGCGCAGGUAUCAGGAGGAAUACCGGUGGCGAAGGCGGGUCGCUGGGCUGUUACUGACACUGAGGAGCGAAAGCAUGGGGAGCGAACAGG
rnacentral:rRNA from 1 species